CGUAGCUCAGUGGUAGAGCAAUCGGCUGUUAACCGAUCGGUCGUAGGUUCGAAUCCUACCG
rnacentral:tRNA from 1 species